rnacentral:rRNA from 1 species
CAGUCGCCGCGGUAACACGGAGGGAGCUAGCGUUGUUCGGAAUUACUGGGCGUAAAGCGCACGUAGGCGGUUAUUCAAGUCGGAGGUGAAAGCCCGGGGCUCAACCCCGGAACUGCCUUUGAAACUAGAUGACUAGAAUCUUGGAGAGGUCAGUGGAAUUCCGAGUGUAGAGGUGAAAUUCGUAGAUAUUCGGAAGAACAUCAGUGGCGAAGGCGACUGACUGGACAAGUAUUGACGCUGAGGUGCGAAAGCGUGGGGAGCAAACAGGAUUAGAUACCCCAGUAGUCCCUGUCUCUUAUAC